UACGUAGGGUGCAAGCGUUAAUCGGAAUUACUGGGCGUAAAGGGUGCGCAGGUGGUCUGUUAAGUUCGAUGUGAAAUCCCUGGGCUCAACUCAGGAACUGCAUUGGAUACUGACAGGCUAGAGUACCGGAGAGGGAAGCGGAAUUCCUGGUGUAGCGGUGAAAUGCGUAGAUACCAGGAGGAACACCGGUGGCGAAGGCGGCUUCCUGGCCGAGUACUGACACUCAUGCACGAAAGCGUGGGGAGCAAACGGG
rnacentral:rRNA from 1 species